GUAGCAAUCAAAUUUCUGGUAGAAUUCCAAAUAGUUUAUUCAAGUGCAAAGAGCUAAAGAUUUUAUCAUUGUUUAACAACUCCUUGGAGGGAACUAUACCUACAGAAAUUGGAAAUUUGACUUUGCUCGACAGUUUGAAUCUUGGUAACAACCACCUCAAAGGUGAAAUUUCGUCGAUUAUUGGAAAUCUUAUUUCUCUCACAGACAUUGAUCUUUCUGUUAACUACCUAACAGGUUUUUCCAUUCAAGUCAAGUGAUGGGCACGUAUCGGUUCUCGGUCCUUCACCUUCCCCGACAACCAUUUUUUCUCUUGGCCAUCACUCCGAUUCUAAUCCAUUACCUGCCGUCCCACUACCUACAGCCCCAUGCCCCAACCAGAAGCUCCCUACUGUCCCAAGUACCCCCUACUGACUGCCGAUCAAUCUCUUGCCAUCACCACUGUUUUUCUCGCAACCUGCUCCCAUUGUUCCCAAUGACCCUAUCACAUUCCCGAUAGGUUCUAGCAGUCCCAAUGCUUCUCCUACCACUGCUCAGGUACCUACUGUGCGUCAUUCAAUGACUUUACGCUCCCAUACUGGCUCACUUAAACCAAAGGUUUUUCAUACUGCUGCGUCCACUACACUGUCAGCCCCUUCGUCAUACACUGAAGCAGCAAAACAUCAAGUAUGGCGUGCUGCAAUGGGAGAAGAAAUUGAUGCUCUUCUAUCAAAUGGCACAUGGGAUCUUGUUCCUCGUUCUCGAGCUUCGAAUAUCAUUGGUUGCAAGUGGGUAUACCGUGUAAAAACAAAAGUGGAUGGUUCCUUCGAUAGAUGUCGUGUGCGGUUGGUUGCAAAAGGGUUUCAUCAAUGACCAGGCCUUGAUUACGUUGAGACUUUCAGCUCUGUUAUAAAGCCAGCCACCAUAAGGUUAAUUCUUUCCAUUGCCGUCAAUCGUCAUUGGCCCAUUCGACAACUUGAUGUUUCGAAUGCCUUUCUUCACGGGACUUUUGAUGAAAUUGUUUUUAUGGAACAACCACAGGGAUUUGUUGAUCAUUCUAAACCCGAUUUUGUAUGUGCUCUAAAGAAAUCGCUAUAUGGUUUAAAGCAGGCACCACGAGCUUGGUAUUUUUUCCUUUCGAAUGCACUACAACAGCUUGGUUUUCACGGUUCCAAGGCUGACAGUUCGCUGUUUAUAUAUUCCGGUAAUGACGAGAAUGCAUAUUGCUUGGUCUAUGUUGAUGAUUUGGUGUUGACAGGAUCAUCCUCUUCGCUGUUACAACGGUUUAUUGCUCAACUUGGGAAGGUUGUUGCGCUCAAGGAUUUAGGACCACUAUCCUAUUUCUUGGGUGUUGAAGUUGCGUAGUUCUCGAGUGGCUUGCAGCUCACGUAAUCCAAAUAUAUCAAAGAUUUGCUCUAUCGUGCGAAUAUGCAAGAUGCCUCGUCGGUUUCGACUCCUUCAACACCGCAAGCCGACCUCACUGGCACUACUUCUUCUAUCUUUUAUGAUCCUAAGCUUUAUCGACAGGUUGUUGGGUCUCUUCAAUAUUUGGCACUCACUCGCCCCGACAUAACCAUGGCAGUGAACAAAGCUGCACAAUUUAUGCAUUUUCCUUGCCUCCAUCAUUGGCAAGCCGUGAAACGGAUCCUACGUUACCUCUGCGGCACAAUAGAUCAUGGUCUCGUGCUUCGCUCUUCUCGCCAAGCUUCACUUGUUGCUUUUUCGUAUGCUGAUUAGGGUGGCGACAAGCUUGAUCGAAAGAGCACUUCUGCAUAUAUUGUCUUUCUUGGCUCCAAUCCGAUCUCUUGGAUUUCUCGUAAGCAAAAGACUGUCGCUCGUUCAAGCACGGAUUUGGAAUAUUGAGCUUUAGCAUCAGCUGCUUCGGAGGUUUAUUGGCUUCAGUGCCUUCUUCGGGAACUCAAUUACAAGCUUCCAACAACGCCGAAAGUAUGGUGCGAUAACGUUUCCGCUACCUAUCUAGCUGCGAAUCCCAUUUUUCAUUCUCGUAGCAAGCACCUUGAGUUGGACUUUCAUUUUGUCCAAGACCAAGUACGCCAGAAGAAUCUUCUCGUCUCCUAUGUUCCGACCAUUAAUCAAAUAGCCGAUGUCUUGACGAAACCUUUAUCGACAACUCGGUUUCUUACGCUUCAAGACAAACUGAUGGUGACUUCCCCCAUUCGUUUGCGGGGGGCUGUUGAGAGUUAACCAAGUCAAACUAGACUUGUUAUCACUCAUAUUCUUUAGGAUUUUAUUCUACUUAAAAUUCAAAUUCAAAUUGUGAAUAGCUAUAGAUAACACUCUGAUGUAAUCUUGUAUAUAUUUGCUAUCAA